UACUGUAGUUAGUUACUGUACUGGUCUCCCACUGAAGCUAAGCAGGGCUGAGCCUGGUCAGUACCUGAAUGGGAGACCUCCUGGGAAAACUAGGUUGCUCCUGGAA
rnacentral:rRNA from 1 species